rnacentral:rRNA from 1 species
AUUGAACGCUGGCGGCAGGCCUAACACAUGCAAGUCGAUCGAGCGGCGGACGGGUGAGCAAUGUCUGGGAAACUGCCUGAUGGCGGGGGAUAACUACUGGAAACGGUAGCUAAUCCCGCAUACCAUCCGAUUUGCCCAGAUGGGAUUAGCUAGUAGGUGGGUUAACGGCUCACCUAGGCGACGAUCCCUACCUGGUCUGCGCGGAUGACCAGCCACACUGAAACUGAGACACGGUCCAGACUCCUACGUGAGGCAGCAGUGGGGAAUAUUGCACAAUGGGCGAAAGCCUGAUGCAGCCAUGCCGCGUGUGUGAAGAAGGCCUUCGGGUUGUAAAGCACUUUCAGCGGGGAGGCGUUACCCGCAGAAGAAGCACCGGCUAACUCCGUGCCAGCAGCCGCGGUAAUAC